GCCACAACUGAUAGCUCAGUUGGUUGAGCAUGAGACUUUUAAUCACAGGGUCGUGGGUUCGAUCCCAUGUUAGGCA